UUUGGUUCCGAUUCUCUCUAGUUCCAAUUCUCUUUAGUUCCAUUCUCUCUCACACUACCCUCACGCUACUUCUUUUAUCUUUCACACUUCUCUCACACUUCUUCAUCUCUCACACUUCUCUCUGCCCAUUCAGCUGCAUCCCUCACUCAGCACACACACAUUCUCACCUCUGCCCAGCUCUUUACCCAGCAGCUCUCUACACAGGCCUACACAGCCCCUUUUCACAGCCAAACUCUGCACAAGUAUGACUUACAUUUUCAGGGUCACAAAGCAUUUCUUGAGUAAACAAUCAGAGACAGAGCCAAACUGAUACACGUAAGGAAUCACUUGGUUUCUCUUAGGCUAAGAAAGUCCCAAUGACUGGCCAGUAAGUAACACUUGGCCAUGCAUGUAGCUCUUUCCCAGACAUAAAAUGGCAUUGAAAUCCAGGACUUAAUAAUAGCAGUUGGCUGAAGCUUGAAUGGUAGGGGUACGUGCAGGAAGAGAAUUACUGCAUGGGAUUAUGUCUACCUAAGUUGCUUCAUGUCUGACCUUGAUUUAGCAAGAAACACCUGGGAAUUUGUCUUUGUGUAUUCUUUGCAGGGGCAGCUAGUCUGUUUUGAAUUUGUUCUAAAGUCUAAAAUUAUCUGUCUUUAUGACCAAGAAUACUGUUAUUUUCCUUUGUCAGUUAUGAAAAAUAUUCUAAUAUUUCUAUUUAUCAAAAUUAUAUAGCUUAAGCAGAAGUCAUUUUCCUGACUCUCCAUGUGUGCCCAAUGAUGGAAUAUUUUCACGAAAUAAACACACAAGCAGUAGGAAAACACCCAUAGCUAUUCUUAGGGAAGAAAUGCAAUGGCACAUGAGAGAAAUUACAGAGAGGAGCAACCGGUCUUUUAAAGUCAAUAACUACAUGGCUUUGCCAAAUGGGGCUCCUCACCUGGUGGGUCGAACUGUUAAAUACUAGUUUCCACCUGCUGCAUGCUCCCAUAGCCCUCAGCACAGACUCCUUAGCAUGGUGUUACAAGCAGCGUUUUACCUGCUUUUUGCCUCCCACCACUUUCCACAGUGCUCACCCCCUUUUGUAAGUCCAAACCGAGCCACUGGUCCUUCCUGAGCACGCUGCAGACUCACUUCAAACCCCUUGACUUUGUUCCGGAUUCCCUUUGCCCAAAAUACCCUCUCAACUCAAACGGUGUCACAAAUCACCAGCUAUCCUCAAGAACUGGCUUAUCUUCCUGCAGAAUCUACCACAAUGGUACAGGGGCUCACUCCACCCCAGCACUACCCAAUAUGCUUUCCAUCAGUACAGGUAGUGAGUCCUGUUUUCCUCCGUUGAUGUAUGCAGCGUCUUCCCUGGUUUGAGCUCUAGGGCAAGGGGAAUUGGAUCUUUUCAUCCUCUACCCCCAGGCAUGAAAAGUACUUGUUUAUCUAAGAUCUGGCACAGAGUUGUUUACACUAAUCACUUCUUACUAAGUAAGCAGAUGUUUAUUGGAUGAGAAUGCCAUGGAAACCGUCUGAGAGCAGGAACAUGAGGCUCAGUAGAGGUUUCCCAUUCACUGCCACAGGCAAGACAGCCUCUUCUUAAGGCUGACAUUUCUGCAUUCCUGGUUUUCCACUCCCCACCCCAUUCUGCCUCCAGCCUUGUAUCUGUGCUCAUCCCACACCACAGUAAUGUGAAUGUGACAACAAAGGAAAUCCCUGGAUAACCCUGAAGCCCACGUGGGUCUUCUUCCUGGAGGAGGAAUUGGACAUUAAGAUGAAAGACCAUCAGGCCUAUCUAUAUACAUCAAUGACUUAACCAAGAAUGUCUCCCGACUCCUGAGAACAGCAUUGUUCAGUAUCAUACCUAAAAGAACUUUCAAGAAUGUAAAAGAUCUGGCAUGAUUGGGAGUUUGAGGUCAACCUGGUCUACAGUUCCAGGCCAGCUGAGGCUACAUAGACCGGCAGGUGAGAGAGAUUUGUCUGGACCGUGGGCCAGGCAGGACACAGGAAAACUUUCAGCUACAGGGUUGAAAUUAGGGAAUGAAUAUAAUCCAUUUUCUCCAUGAAGACCCAAUUCUAAAGCUGUUCACCAGAAGGAUUGGUAUCUAAACUGGGGUUCAGUCCUGUUCCCAUAUUUAGCAGAAAUGCUUAUUUCGGGGAGGAGAUCUCAAGGACUGUGGAACCAGAGCCCUGUCCUGCAAUCCUGGCUUCCAGCAAGGACUUUCCUCGAACUGUUGCUUCAGGAUCCCUGCCCUACAUGUCCCCUUUCCCUACAUGUCCCCUUUCUCCCGCCUCCUCUCAUUCAUCAUCACCAGGACCUUUCCAUGGUAAUUUUGAUGCUAAGGGUUGGGAUGAAACCCAGGAGUCCAUCUUAUUUACAAGUACCCUAGAUUAUCAUUGCCAUCAGGCAAAUAAGGGAAAUAGUGGUUUAUGAAUAAAAAGCUGAGUUCACAUCUCAGCUCUGCUAUUUA